rnacentral:rRNA from 1 species
CCACCACCUUUUGAAUACACAGCCUGUAUACCUCCGUCGCAAGCUUACCCUGUGAAUGUAUUUAGUGAGCCCAAUGAUUUAACACCCACACGUCAGGUCAAGGUGCAGCCUACAAGGCGGAAAGAAAUGGGCUACAAUCUCUACUUUAGAACAAACGAAAGACUAUAUGAAACACAGUCAUUGAAGGCGGAUUUAGCAGUAAAAAGAAAAUAGAGAGUUCUUUUUAAUUAGGCACUGGGACGCGUACACACCGCCCGUCACCCUCUUCAAACCACAAUAUUAUGUAACUAACACCACAUGCUACUAUAGAAGAGGUAAGUCGUAACAUGGUAAGCGUACUGGAAAGUGCGCUUGGAAUAACAAAAUGUAGCUUAAUAAAAGUAUCCUGCUUACACCAAGAACAUGUCUGUGAAAUUCUGACCAUUUUGAGCUUAAACCCCAGCCCACCCAUUAAACUAUUAACAAAAUUUUUCUUCUAAAAUUAAUAAAACAUUUUUUCAACCUAGUAAAGGCGAUUAAAAAGUACCUAGGAGCCUCAACAUCAGUACCGAAAGGG